rnacentral:lncRNA from 1 species
GGCUAGGCAGGGCGCCUGGGGGCUUCCCAGCCACAGGCCAUUCACGUCAACCUCCAGGCAUCCUCCGCGGCGGGCCGGACCGGGCCGGCGGAGGGGAGCGGAAGCCCACCGGGGCUGGCCCGCCGCUGACCCGCCGCCUCCGUCUGCCUCCUCCCGGGCUCUGGGCCCAGCGCGCCCAGAUGCCGGGCAGGACCCCUCCGCCCGCUGCUGGAACACCAAUAGCAGCGUUGGAGCCUCUGGGCCGGAGGAACUGGGGCCUCCACCGACACCUGCUUCUUCCCUCACCUCGCAGCCUUCCACACCUGUUGAUCUGACCUCUGCCCCGCUGCCGCCCAGGAGUAACCUAAGGCUUUUGGCCUGAUUCGAGCUCACUCCGUCUAAACCUCUAAAUGCGGUGCGAAAAAAUCCUGGGGAAUGUGCCAUGCAAAGCCUGGGCAUUUCAAGUGCUUUUCUGGAUUCGCAUCAACUCCUCUUUACAGGCAUCUUUAUCCGGAAUUCAGCUCGUCCCAAACCCCACGUGGUGUAGCUCUGCUUGUGUUUUUGAAUCCCGGGGCCUCUUUGAAUCAGAAGCCCUUUGUAUAGAGAUAAGUAUCCUUUAGGCCAGAAUCAGCCUCCAUUUUUUUCGCAGUCCCAUUUCCUACCCGUAAUACUUUCUUCUGAUUUUAAAGCCAUUUGAUAGAGAAGGGACAGGGAACAGAACCUUCGCCCCCCGCCUGAGCAGCUGGUAGACUAGAUAUCUUCCAAACAUUAUCUCAUUUACUUCCCUGGAGUUACAAAUAGGUAGAUUUCAUGUCCGUUGAGGGGUGAGAAAGCUGAAACUUUGAGACUUAAGAAUCCUGGCCGAGGUCAGCCUCCUCCGAAGCUUCAUCUCUUGCCACCACUUUCUGGUGCACACCUAGGACAGAUUUCAAUCCCUGAGAUCCCAGGAUGAAACCUAUGUUUGCCAAAUACCAGCUACUGUGCCAGAAGAGAUCAUGGAACCAGGUGUGGAAAGCUGCUUGAGAAGAGGAGCCAAAACAUCAUAGUUGAACCGUCCUGGAAUAGAACUGAACCUCAAAAAGUUAGCCUGGCGAGGGGAGGAUGAUGAGAUUUCCCCUGUUGUCACAUAAACAAGGAAGUAAAGGGGGCCCCUUGUGCUCUCAGAACUCCAAGCAUGAAACGAUUUUCUGCCAUUUCAGUUCCUGUUAUCGUGCUUUGAGGUGCACUGAACUGCAGCAAACCCAGGGGAUCCAAGGCUACGUUGAAAAGCCUUUGACCACAGUGCAGGGAGCAGAAGACAUUAAUGACGUGAUGUCGACACAGCCCGCACUCAGGAUCCUCCAGGAAAAGAACACAGAGAUAACCCCGGAUCGAUGGUACUUUUUGAAAAUGCUUUAUUGCAAAAGAGUGGCUAGGGUUUUACAAGGGCUAUGAAGAAACAUAUUAAGGUUAAUAAAGCUUUUUAUUGAGUGUUUACUGA